rnacentral:rRNA from 1 species
CCCGUUGUACACACCGCCCGUCACACCACGAAAGUUGGUAACACCCGAAGCCAGUGGCCUAACCGCAAGGAGGGAGCUGUCGAAGGUGGGAUCAGCGAUUGGGGUG